rnacentral:misc_RNA from 1 species
AACAUCGCGCACCUGCGGGAACCUGCGGAGGGAUCAUUACAGAGUUGCAAAACUCCCUAAACCAUUGUGAACGUUACCUAAACCGUUGCUUCGGCGGGCGGCCCGGGUCCUUCCCGGCGCCCAUCGGCCCUCGCGGGCGCCCGCCGGAGGUAAACCAAACUAUUGCAUUGUAUGGCCUCUCUGAGUCUCCUGUACUGAAUAAGUCAAAACUUUUAACAAUGGAUCUCAGAUCGGAAGAGC